CAGGUACCCCAGGCUGGGGCAGUUUUCUGAUAACAGGAGCAAUGGUCCAGGCAGGGUAUCAGAUACCCAAAUGCCUCUAUGGUUCAUGAGCAAAGUGCUACCCCAGAGUGCAGUACACAGACCUGUAUUCAUUGCCCCGGAGGAAAGAGGAAGGUGCUGAUUCAAGGAAGGAAGGUGGAUUCUGCACUGAACUCAAAGAAGGUGCCGUUGCCAGCAGAAGGAAACCGCACAACACCACCAGGGACCACCUUCUGCAACACCUGGACAUUGCUCAGCACUACAGCAAUAAAAAUCUGCAGCAGCAGGUACAGGGGAGGAGAGCACAACACCAAUACAGGAAAAGCUGCCACAACGACUGAACUUAAGGGGUGAAUACUGCACAGGAAUUGGUUCAAACAGGAAAUUAAACAGCUAGUGAGAGGUGCAAGCCUGGAGGCCGAGCCCAAAGCAGCACAUCAGCACAAGUAGCAGAGACAGCAGUGGUAGUGAAGGGAUAUCCGGAAGGACAGACUGCAAGAGACAAGGAUUAUAAAGAAUGAUGCAAUAAACCAGUGUAAUGGGUGAGUUAAUACAGAUAUAUACUGUAUAUGCAGUUGGGUUUUUAUGCUUAAAUGAGAUAUAAGGACAUUGUCAUUGUGUAUCAGGGGCAUUGUUGGCUGCCAAUGUCCAGCUCCAUGUGGUUUUUAACAUUAUACACUGCUUUUCA